UCUUUAUAUGCUUAUGACUCAGUUCAUCAUUCAACAUUCACAACAACAACCCUCUUUUAUGCACAAGAGAUACCAAACACUACACAUCAAAGGGAAGAACCUAACGGCAUCCUCUCCUUGAACCUCGCAUAUGCUACAACCAGAACUUUAACCAGAUUGGACUCGAGCUUGAGUAGAGAUCGAUCAGCUUGGUAGAGCUUGGAAAGGAGCGCUUUAACUCCUUCUUAGUCUACCAAAUGGAAUACUGAACACCUAAAUAAAAGUAAAAGAAGAACUUAACCAGAUUACACCUCAACAGUACCUUUUGACUAUUGAUUGUUUUCUGUUGCUUUCUUUGAAAGCUCAUUCAUAGUUUAUAGUAGUUAUAUUUAAUUUUAGGGUUACUUAGGCUGAGGGCAUUCUUUUUGACAAACCCUUCAAGACCUCAUUCCCACAUGAUACUCCUUCUAAUAUUUGUCAUUUGUCUUCACAACAUCAAAAUUUGCAUUAGAGUUCUCCUCCUCUUCGUCAUAAGCAAGAAAAAGAAGUUUUAGUCCUUAAAAAUGACGGAAUCCGCCAUUUCCAUCAACAAUUUCAAGCUAUCCGGAGAGAAUUUUCUUGCAAACAUGUAAGGAUACGUUGAAUUCGACUCUCUGAGCUUGUAAAUCAGCUCAGGGGAAACUUCAGGUGGCUGAUAAGUAUGGGGAUGUCCACCAACUGAGUCAGUCCAAUUCACCCGAGUCAAUGUGUGCCGAGUACAGCCAUUAGGAUCCUCCAUUGAUAACAAAGUAGGAAAAUAGUGUUCUUCAGGAUAACAAGACUGGAUUUUUACACAAGGUUUCUUAAAUUUCCUCCAUAGCUUACUAUCCUUGAUCACCAUCAAUGAAUGUUUUCUUGUAAUAACAAAAAACUGUGACCCAACACGGAAUUUAUCAAAACUCACUUCUGGUUCCAUCACAUUUUCCCCUCUAGCAUUAUACCUAUCUAAUAACGAAGGAGAUUCCGUAAGAAUCUCUAUAUAACUAGGGAACUCCAUCUUCCUAGAUAAUUUCUGGGUAUCCAACAGAAAAUUGUAGAAGUAAUUAAACGAGUGCAAAGGUAUACAAUGCUGAGAGAUAAGAGCAAAAUAAACAUUAUCUGGGUCAUCAAGCAAAGCGUGAGCUAGAAGGCGACGCGUGGCUGAGAUAAGUGUCGGUGAUGAGCGUUGAGUUCUCUUGGCAUGUAUAAAUCUGUCGGCGAAAACACCCACCGGAGGAUUAAUCUUCACUGUAGGAUCAGCGUGAAUGUAGAUAUUAUAGAGAUGUGGAUCAGACGCAUAGAAGAACUUGUGCCACAAGGGUUCAAAGUGCAAAUCUGAAUUCGUUAAAAAGAGAAAAGCGAUUUUAGGGCGGCGAACGGUGGUGGAACCGAGACGGAAUUUGUUGGAAGGGUGUUUCCUGGAUGGUUUUUUGAGAAAAGUAGCAUCGGCGGCGAUGGCUUUGUGAAAAAGGGAAAGAUCGUCGAGUUCAUCAGGGAGAGAAAUGGGUAUUUGUCGUUGCGGAAGAAUUGACGGUGCUAAGUAAAAGAUGAUUGGGAUAGAGAUGAGAAGUGUAAGAGAUGGGACAAGGAUGUAGUAUUUGAACAUUGUUGAAGAAAAAGCACAAAAGGGGAAAUGGGUUUAGAGUGAAAGUACCAUUGAAAGGAGCUUAAAAAUGGGGAGAAGAAGAAAGGGGGUUUGGGGAUUAGGGUUUGGGGGAGAGAUUAGAGGUGAAGAUGAAGAAGUGAGCAUUUGGAUUGAGAUUUGAGAAGAGAGAG
rnacentral:misc_RNA from 1 species